rnacentral:rRNA from 1 species
UACGGAGGAUGCGAGCGUUAUCCGGAUUUAUUGGGUUUAAAGGGUGCGCAGGCGGGAGAUUAAGUCGGCGGUGAAAUUUUGCAGCUCAACUGUAAAAGUGCCUUCGAAACUGGUUUCCUUGAGUGUAGAUGAAGUAGGCGGAAUUUGUGGUGUAGCGGUGAAAUGCUUAGAUAUCACGAGGAACUCCGAUUGCGCAGGCAGCUUACUAAACUACUACUGACGCUCAGGCACGAAGGCGUGGGGAUCAAACAGGAUUAGAUACCCGCGUAGU